rnacentral:lncRNA from 1 species
AUGGCUGAAGAGUCUAAUUGGAUUGUGACUCUAGUGAAGAGUCUUACUUGGACUGAGACUCUGUGAGAGAGUCCCACUGGGAUUGAAACUCUAUAAUUUUUGAAGAAUUAAUUAGUAAUUAGAUUACUAAUUGACUCAAUUUGAUUGAGUAAAGAGCUUUGAAAUAAGUCUAAUUAAAUUAGAUUCAGUUCAACUCAAAUUGGGAUUGAUAUGAUCAAACCCGA